UUGGGAGAAUGUAUAGUCCUCUUAUGAGGCUAGUUAUGUUUUGAUUAGUAAUGCACCCUGGUGGGGGUUACGUAUCUUAAUAUAAUACCAACUACGUUGGAUAAAAUUCUAGAUAGAAUACUGAUCAUGACAAUUUUCUAUCUACUUGUCUUGACCAAAUUACGUGCCAGCAGUCGCGGUAAUACGUAGAAGACUAGUGUUAUUCAUCUUUAAUAGGUUUAAAGGGUACCUAGACGGCCUUGCUUUACUGAAAGGAAUAGCUUGAGCUAGAGUUUUAUAUGAGAAGGGGAGUAUUUACGGAGUAGAGAUGAAAUUCUUUGAUACCUUAAGGACUGGCAAUGGCGAAAGCGACCUUUUAUCUAAAAACUGACGUUGAGGGACGAAGGCUUGGACAGCGAACAGGAUUAGAUACCCUAGUAGUCUUUGCAGAAAAUGAUGAAUGCCAUAGACUAGAUUAAUUUGGUUUAUAAAUGAAAGUGUAAGCAUUCCACCUCAAGAGUAAUGUGGCAACGCAGGAACUGAAAUCAUUAGACCGUUUCUGAGAACAGUAGUGAAGUAUGUUAUUUAAUUCGAUAAUCCUCGAAAAACCUUACCACAACUUGAAUGAUGUCAUUUACAUACAAUAAUUUUUUUGUAAACUGAUAGAUGUAGAAGUGCAUUUAUUAGGGUGAUGUUACAAGCGUUGCACGGUUGUCUUCAGCUAAUGUCGUGAGAUUUUGGUUAGUUCCAUAAAAUUAGCGUAAACCCCAGCUUUAUUUUUUAAUUAUUACGAUAAAGUAGUUCAUCACCUAUAUUGAAUAUAUGAUAA
rnacentral:rRNA from 1 species